AUGACUACACCUCAACCAACAACAACCUCUACUAUUACCCCAAAAACUACUACCGCUACCCCAACAACAACUCCUACUACUACCCCAAAGAUGACUACCGCUACCCCAACAACUACUCGUAUUACUACCCCAACUACUACCACAACAACAACUACAACUCCUACUACUACCCCAAAAACUACUACACCUCCACCAACAACAACCCCUACUACUACCCCAAAAACUACUACCACUACCCCAACAACAACUCCUACUACUACCCCAAAAAUGACUACACCUCCACCAACAACCCCUACUACUACCCCAAAAACUACUACCACUACCUCAACAACAACUCCUACUACUACCCCCAAAACUACUACCACUACCCCAACAACAACUCCUACUACUACCCCAAAAACGACUACAACUCCACCAAUAACAACUCCUACUACUACCCCAAAAACUCCUACCACUACCCCAACAACAACCUCUACUACUACCCCAACUACUACCACAAUAACUACUACAACUCCUACUACUACCCCAAAAACUACUACCACUACCCCAACAACAACUCCUACUACUACCACUAAAUCUACUAUCACUCCACCAACAACAACCCCUACUACAACCCCAACUACUACCACAACAAUAAUUACAACUCCUACUACUAACCCAAAAACUACUACCACUACCCCAACAACAACUCCUACUACUACCCCAAAAACUACUACAAUUACCCCAACAGCUACUACAACUCCAUCAUCAACAACUCCUAUUACUACCCCAAAAAUGACAACCACUACCCCAACAACAGCUCCUACUACUACCCCAAAAACUUCUACCACUACCCCAACAACAACUCCUACUACUACCCCAAAAACUACUACAAUUACCCCAACAGCUACUACCACUACCCCAACAACAACUCUUACCACUACCCCAACUACUACCACAACAACAACUCAGACAAGGACUACCUCUGAGAAAAUGACAACUGCCACCACCAAAGCAUCUACCCCAAUAACAGACAUCAUUGUAGUCACAAAUGCACCAUAUCCAUCGAAAUCACCCUCACCUCAAGUGCAAAUUACAACGUUGACAAUACAGACAGAAAAAACUACAACAUCAAACCCUACAACAACACCUACCACUACCACAACCCCUAACACAUUAUGUUUUUGCACAUACAAAAAUCUACAUUUCCCUGCUGGUAAGUGA
rnacentral:lncRNA from 8 species